UGCAGUCGAGCGGAACGACUUAACUGAACCUUCGGGGGACGUUAAGGGCGUCGAGCGGCGGACGGGUGAGUAAUGCCUAGGAAGUUGCCCAGUAGAGGGGGAUAACCAUUGGAAACGAUGGCUAAUACCGCAUAACCUCUUCGGAGCAAAGCAGGGGACCUUCGGGCCUUGCGCUAUUGGAUACGCCUAGGUGGGAUUAGCUAGUUGGUGAGGUAAGGGCUCACCAAGGCGACGAUCCCUAGCUGGUCUGAGAGGAUGAUCAGCCACACUGGAACUGAGACACGGUCCAGACUCCUACGGGAGGCAGCAGUGGGGAAUAUUGCACAAUGGGCGAAAGCCUGAUGCAGCCAUGCCGCGUGUGUGAAGAAGGCCUUCGGGUUGUAAAGCACUUUCAGCAGUGAGGAAGAUGGUAAGCUUAAUACGCUUAUCAUUUGACGUUAGCUGCAGAAGAAGCACCGGCUAACUCCGUGCCAGCAGCCGCGGUAAUACGGAGGGUGCGAGCGUUAAUCGGAAUUACUGGGCGUAAAGCGCAUGCAGGUGGUGAGUUAAGUCAGAUGUGAAAGCCCGGGGCUCAACCUCGGAAUUGCAUUUGAAACUGGCUCACUAGAGUACUGUAGAGGGGGGUAGAAUUUCAGGUGUAGCGGUGAAAUGCGUAGAGAUCUGAAGGAAUACCAGUGGCGAAGGCGGCCCCCUGGACAGAUACUGACACUCAGAUGCGAAAGCGUGGGGAGCAAACAGGAUUAGAUACCCUGGUAGUCCACGCCGUAAACGAUGUCUACUUGGAGGUUGUGGCCUUGAGCCGUGGCUUUCGGAGCUAACGCGUUAAGUAGACCGCCUGGGGAGUACGGUCGCAAGAUUAAAACUCAAAUGAAUUGACGGGGGCCCGCACAAGCGGUGGAGCAUGUGGUUUAAUUCGAUGCAACGCGAAGAACCUUACCUACUCUUGACAUCCAGAGAACUUAGCAGAGAUGCUUUGGUGCCUUCGGGAACUCUGAGACAGGUGCUGCAUGGCUGUCGUCAGCUCGUGUUGUGAAAUGUUGGGUUAAGUCCCGCAACGAGCGCAACCCUUAUCCUUGUUUGCCAGCACUUCGGGUGGGAACUCCAGGGAGACUGCCGGUGAUAAACCGGAGGAAGGUGGGGACGACGUCAAGUCAUCAUGGCCCUUACGAGUAGGGCUACACACGUGCUACAAUGGCGCAUACAGAGGGCGGCCAACCAGCGAUGGUGAGCGAAUCCCAAAAAGUGCGUCGUAGUCCGGAUUGGAGUCUGCAACUCGACUCCAUGAAGUCGGAAUCGCUAGUAAUCGUAGAUCAGAAUGCUACGGUGAAUACGUUCCCGGGCCUUGUACACACCGCCCGUCACACCAUGGGAGUGGGCUGCAAAAGAAGUGGGUAG
rnacentral:rRNA from 1 species